GGGAACAGGAGCCCAAACCCGAGCACUUAAACAUAAAAAUUUGGGAAGAGGAGCCCAAAAGCAGNAUCCUGGCACAGCAGGAGCAGCAGCAGCACAGCACAGAGCAGGAUUUCAGAUUGGUUUUGCCUGGCACAGCACAGAGCAGGAUUUCAGAGCCAGUUUCCUAUGGCACAGAGCAUAGCAGGAUUUCAGGUCAGUUCUCCUUGGCACAGUGGGAGCAGGAUUUCAAGGAAAGAGCAGGAUUUCAGAGCCCAGAGCAGGAUUUCAGAUCAGCUCUCCCUGGCCCAGCACAGAGCAGGAGCAGCACUGGCACAGAGUGCCAGCACUGAGCAGCACAGAGCAGGAUGCCAGAGCCAGUUUUGCCUGGCACAGCAGGAGCAGGAUUUCAGAUCAGCUCUCCCUGGCACAGAACAGAGCAGGAUUUCAGAGCCAGUUUCCCCUGGCACAGCACAGAGCAGGAUUGGAAGCACAGAACAGGGUUUCACAGCACAGAGCAGGAUUUCAGAUGGGUUGUCCCUGGCACAGCACAGAGCAGGAUUUCAGAUCAGUUGUCCCUGGCACAGCACAGAGCAGGAUUUCAGAGCCAGUUUCCUAUGGCACAGAGCAGAGCAGGAUAACAGAUCAGUUUUCCCUGGCACAGUGGCAGCAGGAUUUCAAGGAAAGAGCAGGAUUUCAGAGCACAGAGCAGGAUUUCAGAGCCCAGAGCAGGAUUUCAGAUCAGCUCUCCCUGGCCCAGCACAGAGCAGGAGCAGCACUGGCACAGAGUGCCAGCACUGAGCAGCACAGAGCAGGAUGCCAGAGCCAGUUUUGCCUGGCACAGCAGGAGCAGGAUUUCAGAUCAGCUCUCCCUGGCACAGAACAGAGCAGGAUUUCAGAGCCAGUUUCCCCUGGCACAGCACAGAGCAGGGUUUGAAGCACAGAGCAGGGUUUGACAGCACAGAGCAGGGUUUCAGUUCAGUUUUCCCUGGCACAGCAGCAGCAGCACCAGCACAGAGCAGGAUAUCAAAUCAGUUUUCCCUGGCACAGCACAGGGCAGGAUUUCAGAGCCAGUUUCCUAUGGCACAGAGCAGAGCAGGAUAACAGAUCAGUUUUCCCUGGCACAGUGGCAGCAGGAUUUCAAGGAAAGAGCAGGAUUUCAGAGCACAGAGCAGGAUUUCACAGAGCAGAGCAGGGUUUUGGAUCAGUUUUCCCUGGCACAGCACAGAGCAGGAUUUCAGAUCAGCUCUCCCUGCUGGUUUCACAGAGCAGAGCAGGGUUUUGGGUCAGCUCUCCCUGGCACAGCAGGAACAGAAUUUCACAGAGCAGAGCAGGAUUUUGGAUCAGCUCUCCCUGCUGGUUUCAAGCCCAGAGCAGGGUUUCGGAUCAGCUCUCCUGGCACAGAGCAGCAGCCCCACACAGCCCCUGCCAGCUCCUGUUCUCACUCCUCCCCAGCUGUGCCAGGCACAGGGGCAGCCCUGGUGCCGAUUCUGCCAUCCCAGCCAGGGACUGACUGCAGUCAGAGAGGGGGGGAAGAGCCCCCAGGGCUUUUUUUUGGAAGAUUUUGGAAGGCUGCAGGAGGAGCUGGGGGGUGACAGGGGCUCUGCAGGUUGUGGGUCAGGAUCCCUGUGGUUCCUUCUCCAGUCAUUUCUCACCCAACCCCGCUCGGGGUGAGGGCUCUGAGCACGGGCAGCACAGAAAUUCAGGGUUCAGAGCAGAAUGUGGCAGAGGGGAAGCUGCACCAGCCUCCUCCCCUCAGCAGGGACCGGCCCAGAUGGCAAAGAGGGGAACAAAACCAGCCUUGGGAGCUUUGAUCAGCCCCAGAGGGAAACAGCCCAUGGGCUCCUGCAGCAGCUCCACAGGCAGGGGCGAGCAGAGCACAGCCCCCACGCCCUGGGCUGCAUUCCUGGCUUUGGGUGCAAUUCCUGGCUUUGGGUGCAAUUCCUGGGUUUGGGUGCAAUUCUUGGGGUUUAUUUGCCCAAAUUGGUCCCUGGGUUUGGGUGCAAUUCCUGGCUUUGGGUGCAAUUCCUGGGUUUGGGUGCAAUUCUUGGGGUUUAUUUGUAAUUCCUGCUGUUUAUUUGCCAUUCCUGCUGUGUGUUUGUCAUUCCUGCUGUUUAUUUCCAAUUCCUGCUGUUUAUUUCCAAUUCCUGCUGUUUAUUUGCCAUUCCUGCUGUUUAUUUCCAAUUCCUGCUGUUUAUUUGCCAUUCCUGGGGUUUAUUUGCCAUUCCUGGUGUUUGUUUAUUUGCAAUUCCUGCUGUUUGCAUUUCUGUUUCCUUCCCAGAGCGUGGAUUGGGCAAAUCCCCGCGGGCCCAGGGCCAGGUGAGUCCUGCUGCCCUUGGGUGGCUCAGGAUCCUCCAUUUGGGAUCCCCAUUCCAUCCAGGCAGUUUUUGGGAUCCCCCAUUCCAUCCAGGCAGUUUUUGGGAUCCCCACCCUGGAAGAUUUUGGGAUCCUCCAUUCAGGCAGUUUUUGGGAUCCCCAUCCAGGCAGUUUUUGGGAUCCCCAUCCAGGCAGUUUUUGGCAUACUCCAUCCAGGCAGUUUUGGGAUCCCCGUUCAGGCAGUUUUGGGAUCCCCCAUUCCAUCCAGGCAGUUUUUGGGAUCCCCAGGGGGGGGGGGGGGGGGGGGGGGGGGGGGGGGGGGGGGGGGGGGGGGGGGGGGGGGGGGGGGGGGGG
rnacentral:lncRNA from 12 species